UGGGGAAUAUUGCACAAUGGGCGCAAGCCUGAUCCAGCCAUCCCGCGUGUGCGAUGAAGGCCUUCGGGUUGUAAAGCACUUUUGGCAGGAAAGAAACGUCGCGGGUUAAUACCCCGCGAAACUGACGGUACCUGCAGAAUAAGCACCGGCUAACUACGUGCCAGCAGCCGCGGUAAUACGUAGGGUGCAAGCGUUAAUCGGAAUUACUGGGCGUAAAGCGUGCGCAGGCGGUUCGGAAAGAAAGAUGUGAAAUCCCAGAGCUUAACUUUGGAACUGCAUUUUUUAACUACCGGGCUAGAGUGUGUCAGAGGGAGGUGGAAUUCCGCGUGUAGCAGUGAAAUGCGUAGAUAUGCGGAGGAACACCGAUGGCGAAGGCAGCCUCCUGGGAUAACACUGACGCUCAUGCACGAAAGCGUGGGGAGCAAACAGGAUUAGAUACCCUGGUAGUCCACGCCCUAAACGAUGUCAACUAGCUGUUGGGGCCUUCGGGCCUUGGUAGGCGCAGCUAACGCGUGAAGUUGACCGCCUGGGGAGUACGGUC
rnacentral:rRNA from 1 species